GACGAACGCUGGCGGCGUGCUUAACACAUGCAAGUCGAACGGGCCUGUCUUCUUUUUUGGGGGUGGGUUGAGUGGCGAACGGGUGAGUAUCACGUGAGUAACCUGCCCUUCGGUCCUGGAUAACCGCUUGAAAGGGCGGCUAAUACGGGGUGGUCCGGUUGGUCCGCAUGGGCUGGUCGGGAUAGAUUCACUGUUUUUGGUGUUUCGGCGGGGGAUGGGGUCGCGGCCUAUCAGCUUGGUGGUGGGGUGUUGGCCUACCAAGGCGGGGACGGGUAGCCGGGCGGAGGGGGUGGCCGGCCAGACUGGGACUGAGAUACGGCCCAGACUGCGGCGGGAGGGAGCAGUGGGGGGUAUUGCACAAUGGGCGGAAGCCUGAUGCAGCGACGUCGCGUGAGGGAUGGAGGCCUUCGGGUUGUGAACCUCUGUUUCCGGUGGUGAAGGCCCUGUCCGUGUGGUGGGGUUGACGGUAGCCGGGGAUGAAGCGCCGGCUAACUACGUG
rnacentral:rRNA from 1 species